UACGUAGGGGGCGAGCGUUGUCCGAAGUUACUGGGCGUAAAGCGCGCGUAGGCGGGUCUUUAAGUGAGGGGUGAAAGGUUCGGGCUCAACCCGGACACUGCCUUUCAUACUGGGGAUCUUGAGUGCGGGAGGGGCGAGUGGAAUGGUCGGUGUAGCGGUGAAAUGCGUAGAUAUCGAUCGGAACACCCAUGGCGAAGGCAGCUCGCUGGCCUGCAACUGACGCUGAGGCGCGAAAACGUGGGGAGCAAACAGG
rnacentral:rRNA from 1 species